AGAGGACUCUACCCUUUUGUUCAUCUUCAGGUUCUGCAAAUCCUGCAGCAUUUGUGAAGUCAGCUCAGCCCUCACAGCAGGUGGAAGCUCCCAGCCCCACAGCAGCUGUGCACAGACUUGAUCUUCAGGUUUUCACACACAGUCCUCAACCUCCCCUGCCCUAGCCUUCCUUCCCUGCUUCUUUUUUUUUCUUUUUUUUAUUUAUUUUUUUUUUUAAUGCAGAAAGCAGUAACCCUUUGGCCCAGCUAGCCCCUCGCUAUCAGAUUCCAACAGAGGAAUUCUGGGCAUGAAGCUUCACAGGGCAAACAGAACCCUUGCUAAAUAGCCCAACCAAAUGGAGAGGUUCAGGCAAUACCUUCUGGUUCCUCUAUGCCAGGUUUUACUACCACACUGUGGAGCUGUCUGCUUCAAGGCAGAUUCUGCUUCCCUUCAAAUACCAAGAGCAAGAUCAUGCUAAGCACUGAAAAGUGCAGCAAGCCAGAAUUAUUCCAUAAAGUAGACUGUGGGGAGAAAGAAAAUUAUGACAUGAGAGAGAAGCCAAAAGAAGAGAUUUAAGAGAUAAUUAAGAGGGAGAAUAAGAAAGAAAAACAAAAUGAGGUGCAACAUGAGCAUAAGGAGAUACAGCAGGAG